AUUGAACGCUGGCGGCAGGCCUAACACAUGCAAGUCGAGCGGCAGCGGGUCCUUCGGGAUGCCGGCGAGCGGCGGACGGGUGAGUAAUGCCUAGGAAUCUGCCUGGUAGUGGGGGAUAACGUUCGGAAACGGACGCUAAUACCGCAUACGGCCUACGGGAGAAAGUGGGGGAUCUUCGGACCUCACGCUAUCAGAUGAGCCUAGGUCGGAUUAGCUAGUUGGUGGGGUAAAGGCUCACCAAGGCGACGAUCCGUAACUGGUCUGAGAGGAUGAUCAGUCACACUGGAACUGAGACACGGUCCAGACUCCUACGGGAGGCAGCAGUGGGGAAUAUUGGACAAUGGGCGAAAGCCUGAUCCAGCCAUGCCGCGUGUGUGAAGAAGGUCUUCGGAUUGUAAAGCACUUUAAGUUGGGAGGAAGGGCAGUCAGUUAAUACCUGGUUGUUUUGACGUUACCAACAGAAUAAGCACCGGCUAACUUCGUGCCAGCAGCCGCGGUAACAC
rnacentral:rRNA from 1 species